GCGUUAAGUUGCAGGGUAUAGACCCGAAACCCGGUGAUCUAGCCAUGGGCAGGUUGAAGGUUGGGUAACACUAACUGGAGGACCGAACCGACUAAUGUUGAAAAAUUAGCGGAUGACCUGUGGCUGGGGGUGAAAGGCCAAUCAAACCGGGAGAUAGCUGGUUCUCCCCGAAAGCUAUUUAGGUAGCGCCUCGUGAAUUCAUCUCCGGGGGUAGAGCACUGUUUCGGCCAGGGGGCCAUCCCGGCUUACCAAUCCGAUGCAAACUGCGAAUACCGGAGAAUGUUAUCACGGGAGACACACGGCGGGUGCUAACGUCCGUCGUGAAGAGGGAAACAACCCAGACCGCCAGCUAAGGUCCCAAAGUCAUGGUUAAGUGGGAAACGAUGUGGGAAGGCCCAGACAGCCAGGAUGUUGGCUUAGAAGCAGCCAUCAUUUAAAGAAAGCGUAAUAGCUCACUGGUCGAGUCGGCCUGCGCGGAAGAUGUAACGGGGCUAAACCAUGCACCGAAGCUGCGGCAGCGAACGUAUCACCCAAGACAACUUUGCACAGUUGACGAUUGACGGAGCGAAGCGACGUCAAAGCGUUUUACAACGUCGAGUUGGCUUAGGGAUACGUUCGUUGGGUAGGGGAGCGUUCUGUAAGCCGUUGAAGGUGUGUCGUGAGGCAUGCUGGAGGUAUCAGAAGUGCGAAUGCUGACAUAAGUAACGAUAAAGCGGGUGAAAAGCCCGCUCGCCGGAAGACCAAGGGUUCCUGUCCAACGUUAAUCGGGGCAGGGUGAGUCGACCCCUAAGGCGAGGCCGAAAGGCGUAGUCGAUGGGAAACGGGUUAAUAUUCCCGUACUUGGUGUUACUGCGAAGGGGGGACGGAGAAGGCUAUGUUGGCCGGGCGACGGUUGUCCCGGUUUAAGCGUGUAGGUGUGUGUUCCAGGUAAAUCCGGUUCACUUUAACACUGAGGCGUGAUGACGAGGCACCACGGUGCUGAAGCAACAAAUGCCCUGCUUCCAGGAAAAGCCUCUAAGCCUCAGGUAACAUCAAAUCGUACCCCAAACCGACACAGGUGGUCAGGUAGAGAAUACCAAGGCGCUUGAGAGAACUCGGGUGAAGGAACUAGGCAAAAUGGUGCCGUAACUUCGGGAGAAGGCACGCUGAUAUGUAGGUGAAGUGAUUUACUCAUGGAGCUGAA
rnacentral:rRNA from 1 species